UGUUUUCGUGCUGUGCGCAUGUGCUCUGAGAGAGGUAGAUCUUUGUUACUUGGAUAGCAAUCUGGCAGGUCAGAUCGCAGGGUCUGACAUAAAACCUACCUGAUUUCAAUGGAAUGAAACCUAGACAGCUUCUUUGCAGGUAGAUUGUAAUUUGCACAGGCCGAGCCUUACAGAGCAGCAAUGGAGCCAAAGUGUUCAGGAUCGACUGAAGUUUAUCAGGUAAAUUAGUCU